rnacentral:rRNA from 2 species
UACAUGCAGUCGAGCGGACAGAAGGGAGCUUGCUCCCGGAUGUUAGCGGCGGACGGGUGAGUAACACGUGGGUAACCUGCCUGUAAGACUGGGAUAACUCCGGGAAACCGGAGCUAAUACCGGAUAGUUCCUUGAACCGCAUGGUUCAAGGAUGAAAGACGGUUUCGGCUGUCACUUACAGAUGGACCCGCGGCGCAUUAGCUAGUUGGUGGGGUAAUGGCUCACCAAGGCGACGAUGCGUAGCCGACCUGAGAGGGUGAUCGGCCACACUGGGACUGAGACACGGCCCAGACUCCUACGGGAGGCAGCAGUAGGGAAUCUUCCGCAAUGGACGAAAGUCUGACGGAGCAACGCCGCGUGAGUGAUGAAGGUUUUCGGAUCGUAAAGCUCUGUUGUUAGGGAAGAACAAGUGCGAGAGUAACUGCUCGCACCUUGACGGUACCUAACCAGAAAGCCACGGCUAACUACGUGCCAGCAGCCGCGGUAAUACGUAGGUGGCAAGCGUUGUCCGGAAUUAUUGGGCGUAAAGGGCUCGCAGGCGGUUUCUUAAGUCUGAUGUGAAAGCCCCCGGCUCAACCGGGGAGGGUCAUUGGAAACUGGGAAACUUGAGUGCAGAAGAGGAGAGUGGAAUUCCACGUGUAGCGGUGAAAUGCGUAGAGAUGUGGAGGAACACCAGUGGCGAAGGCGACUCUCUGGUCUGUAACUGACGCUGAGGAGCGAAAGCGUGGGGAGCGAACAGGAUUAGAUACCCUGGUAGUCCACGCCGUAAACGAUGAGUGCUAAGUGUUAGGGGGUUUCCGCCCCUUAGUGCUGCAGCUAACGCAUUAAGCACUCCGCCUGGGGAGUACGGUCGCAAGACUGAAACUCAAAGGAAUUGACGGGGGCCCGCACAAGCGGUGGAGCAUGUGGUUUAAUUCGAAGCAACGCGAAGAACCUUACCAGGUCUUGACAUCCUCUGACAACCCUAGAGAUAGGGCUUUCCCUUCGGGGACAGAGUGACAGUGUGCAUGGUUGUCGUCAGCUCGUGUCGUGAGAUGUUGGGUUAAGUUGC